UACGGAGGGAGCUAGCGUUGUUCGGAAUUACUGGGCGUAAAGCGCACGUAGGCGGCUUUGUAAGUUAGAGGUGAAAGCCCGGGGCUCAACUCCGGAACUGCCUUUAAGACUGCAUCGCUUGAAUCCAGGAGAGGUGAGUGGAAUUCCGAGUGUAGAGGUGAAAUUCGUAGAUAUUCGGAAGAACACCAGUGGCGAAGGCGGCUCACUGGCUCAUACUGGACGCUGAGGUGCGAAAGCGUGGGGAGCAAACAGG
rnacentral:rRNA from 1 species